CCCAUUAACAUUCAUCUUCUCAACUCCUUCCCCGUAAAUCGUAGCUGUUUCUCCCACAUUAACUCCCAUCAGUUAAUUAAUCAAGAGUUAUGACCCUUUUCAGCUUUUAUGAAUUAUUAACGAUUGACUGACUAUAUAUAAGAUUGAAAGAUGGCCAAAUCAGAUUCUCACUCUCUCUCGCCAUUAGAUUUCUGGAUUGUGAUCUUAUUAGUUUCCACCCCAAGAAUCAACGCGUGGAGGGAUUCAGAUUUGCUAUCCUCAUAUUGUGGAUCACUGGAUCAACAUGGGUUUGCAAGGGGAAAAAUAUGGGUAUGACAACUACCUCCUAUUUACUUAAACGGGUUCUUAAAUAAUCAUUCCUUGAUCUUCAUCUCAAACUAUCAGAAGAGGACUUAAAGCAAUAGCCUGACAGGUUUCACUUUCUAUAGAUGGCAACUUAACAUUGAUUUCCUUAGAAACAUCGAUGGCAAGCCCUUCAGAUUCUUAUUUGCAUAUCAUACUUACCUCGCUGUCUCAGAUAUAAGGGUUGGGUCAAUGGGUUAAAAACCCGAUGCAAGAAGCACAUCAGAAGAUUUGCUUAGUUAUAGAAGGUUAGUGGGGUUGCUUAGUUACAUAACAGAAGAUUUGAUUGUAUUAGUUAUGUAACUUUCACAUUUACUGUCUUCAUAUUUAAAUGGCUUUUUCGUUGCAUUCACCGUCCCUUAAGUUACACUUCAGGCACUUAAAUCACGGACACAGCUAGGUUUAGCGGUCUCAGUAGCGAUUACGGUUUGCAUUUUGUGCUCGAGUACUCUCCGCAGUGUCUCAUGGAUCCCAUUACACUUUGGACUUGGAAAAAAACAACAAAUUCAAGAAAUAAAGAAAAAGAACAGAUGUUGUCUCAUGCUCUUUUGGCUGCUAAUCGUUUCAUGGAUAUGGGUUGCGAGCAAGCUGGUGCUUUCAGGAGUUGAAAACCCAAAAUCUUCUACAACUCCAACUGGCGACCUUAGAAUUGGGCUUGAACAGCUUCAGCUAACGUUAAAAGUUAAGAACAUUGCUUCACUGCAGCUAUAUGGAGAGGAGCAAGCGAGUGCAAUUGCAAGCAAGCAAAUUCACCAUAGCACGCAGUUCAUCACAAUUUAAGUAGAAGAAGUCUGAUCAGAAGAUCAUGUCCUUUCCGGUCUCAGCUCUGUCUCUUCUGCCAUAAGAAGAUAAAAAAAAAACGAUGGACGUCAUCUAGCUUCCAGGUACAAGUAUGAGCAGACAAAUACUAACAAGGGAGGGUUAGUUUCCAGAAACGCUGCCAUUGCACAAGUGAUUUAACUCCAUCGUCUCGACUUGACAUAGCUUAAGAGCGAAAAAUAGAGUUUUCAUAAAUCAUUAAUGUUUUUUUUUUUUUUUUUCUUUUAUG